rnacentral:rRNA from 1 species
CAACUUUCAGCAACGGAUCUCUUGGCUCUCGCAUCGAUGAAGAACGCAGCGAAAUGCGAUAAGUAAUGUGAAUUGCAGAAUUCAGUGAAUCAUCGAAUCUUUGAACGCACCUUGCGCUCCUUGGUAUUCUCGGAGCAUGCCUGUUUGAGUAUCAUGG